UAUUUUUAGAUUGAAAGGAAAAUCGGCACAUGCUUCUUCUGUGAUUGAUCUGCGAAAUCCAAUUUUUAAUUAGGUUGCUAGUUUCAAGCGGAACAUCUUCAAAUGCUAUGAAGGUCAUUUGCGAAUUUUAAACGAUACAGCAUUUGGAGAUUGUAUAAAGGUCAUUCGCGAAUUUUAAAUGAUACAGC